rnacentral:misc_RNA from 1 species
AAGUCGUAACAAGGUUUCCGUAGGUGAACCUGCGGAAGGAUCAUUAGUGAAUUUAGAGUACGCUUUCGAGCGGCUUGACCCCACUUUCUUAACUCUGUGCACUAUAUUGGCGGAACAUUGAAGAAGUUUGAGCUUGCUCUUACGGAAUCGAUUUCUGCGGCUCACUUUAAACACUAGUCAAAGUAUGUAACGAAAUAUCGAAAUAAAAAAAA